CAACGCUACAAUCUGUAAGCCAGCUCUGCAAAAUAUGAUUAAGCUGCUGCUACAGAGACCAUCUGACCCAAAUCAAGUCCUCUGUCAGCUACAUGGCUCUGCUACCAAAAAAAGAAGCACAAACAAAAAUGAGAAAAUCACCAAAUGGAGGAAGGGACAAGAGCAGCUGUCAGAAGACUGCAAAAAUGUUUUAGUCUUGUAUGCUGUUUGAUGGGGCCUUGGAGCUGUAUCGCUCAGUGAAAUUUAAUCCUGCAAACUGCUGUGGAUCAUAACAUCUUGCACAAGUUGACUUGUUCAGUGGAACAGUACUCCAAUUUAGACGUUAUAGGUGUUAAUCCUGCUAUGUACUACUGAGGUGUUUGUUUUUUUUUUUUAAACGUCUAUUAUUUCUGGUAAACAAGAUCGUCAUGGAAAUGAUCUAAAAGAAGGUACUUUUUGUUGCUGACUUUUUUUUAUUGCUACAUGAAGAUGAUGGCAUUUCCAGUGUCUGUGGUAUUGCCUGUGUGCCUCCCACCAUUUUGAACAUUGUACAAGUUGACAGAUGAGAGUUCAGGAGCUGCUUUUGGCUUAGAAGACAAGACAGCUAGAUGAUGAUUGUGAUUUAAAGGUGAGGAAGUCAGUCCAGUGCACUGCUUCAGCGGGUCAUACCCUGUAGCUAAACUAUACACUUAUUUUUUGGAUCAGCCAUGGGCCUGAAGCUCUGAACUGUUCAAACCUCAGGUCCAUUUUUAAAGCAGGAUCAUGAUCUGGUGCAUUUCUGCUGGAACAUAUCUGUAGUAUAUGUGUAUCUGACACGUAAUCGAACCAAACUACAAAGCAAGACCUGCCAGUGUCACAAGGGUGAAAACUAGCUGCAUCAAAGCAAAGGAGUGAUGGCUCAGAUGAAGAAAUAGUACAAUGUCAUGUCUUUCCGGCUGCCGCAUUUGCUGUGCAAAAGAUUAUCGCUAUGAUGUUACCUUGUGACAAAGUUGGUAAUGUGUCAUAUGAUUGUGUAUCAUACUGGAAUUGUUUUUGAGCUGAUGGUUGAUUUUUAGCUGCUCUCAGCUUGGUGCUUGAUUGUACAUUAAUCUCUACAUAUGGUACAAAAUACUAAAUGUGCAAAUCUCAAUUUUGUUUGCUUCCAUAAUUUUGUGUGAGAGGGAGAGAGUGCAAUACAGCAACUCUUGUUAAUAUACUUUUUGUAUUCAACUGUACUGCAUCAUUUUCCUCAGCUAGGCUGGCUUGUUUUGCUAAUCGCUGGAAAACGGCAGUUUCUUUCAACAGAGAUUCAGAGAUGGGUAGAGAGAAAGAAAAGGAUGGACAGCGAAAAUGUUACACAGCACCACAAUGAUGUCACAUGAAGCAUCUUCAGAGAAAUUGUCUUGGGUGCGAGUCAGUUCCUAUCUUUCUCCCACAGAUGUGCACUGGUAGCUGUGGGAUGGAGGGAUGGAUAGAGUGAGAGAGCCAGCAGCAGUCUCCAUUGGCAGAUUAGUCAGAACGGAUGGAGCUCCUGGGAGUCCAGACAGCUGCUUCUCUCUUUCUGUCUGUCUCUACCUCUCUCUGUGUGUCUAAUUUAUCCUUUUUUCUCUCUCUUUUAUCCAUCUCUCCCUCUCUCUCUCCACAUCAGAGACUGAACUGUAGUGCAUUUCCCUUGGUGUGAGUUCUACACUCUACCUAACCCAAAACAGUUCUUUUCUUUGUAAAUGAAUGCAGUAAGCAGAGCAGUCAGGCUCAGAUAAGGCCUUUGGCUGAGUGAAAAUGGUUAUAAAAUGGGCCUGGACAGUUGUUUUAUGUCAUUUUUUUUUUCCAAAUUGGCUGUAAAUUGCUCUAAGUGUGAUAGAUUUGUUAGGUUUGUGUCAUGCACUUGAAAGAUGGGGUACUACUGAAAAUGCUGAAGGUACAAAACAUGGCCAUGACUGCAUGGCAACUUCGUACACUAGAACUCGACAGUAUAACAAUCGUGUUGCGGAAAAGAAGCCAAAGAGUGAGGUUAGAUUUAAUGUCUGAAUGAUCUCUUGGUGAAAAACUACAGAAUAUGAUGGAUGAAUGCUUAAGCUCGACACUGGGUACCUUAAACAGCCUGUUUUAAUGGGCUUGAAUCAUGUAAAAUGUUUGAAUCAAUAUUUAUAUCGUCUUUGGAACAGUAAUAUAUAUGUAUGUUCUACUCAUUGAUUAUGAUCACUGUACCGCACAAUGCCUAAAAUUAGAUGAACAAUCGUCCUAUGCAAUUUCACCAUAUCUGUCAGGAGCUUAUCUGUUUCAGUGAGAUAUUAGCCCCUGCCCUGUCUGAGGUAAUUACCAAGAGCAUUUCAUAUGGAGGAAAAUGAUUUCAGUGGCAAAAAUCGAUGAGUGUCUGCCUCAGGGGAUAACAGUAUAUUCUAAUGGCCACAUUUUUAGAUGUGAUAACUUUAUAAAAACCAAAGCACAGCCAUUAUUCUCCUGACAAUUUGUGUUGCAGUGUUUUUUAAACUAUAUUAUCCCGAAAUUGCAAGGUAGCAGUGCUAUCACAGCUAGACAGGCAGGCCCCUAGGCAGUUCCUAAAGUGACAGCACAAAGCUGUUUUGUAGUUACAGUGUAAUGGAAUGAGGAAAGAUAAUGAAUGUAAACAUGUUUUACCUCUAAAUUAAAGUGUAUAUGAAUGAACCUAGACGUGAAACAAGCUGUUAAACUGUGCAGUGACACAAGAAAUUUCUGUCCUGUAUUUUUCUCAUGCCAGAUUUUUUUUUUCUUUUUGUGCAUUUUGCUGUUAUUCGUUUCCAAAGGCAUUUCAGUUGAUUUGUUAUUUAUCUUUAAGAUCAUGUGCGAUGCUGUCGGUCGUAGCAUGAAAUAAAACAUUAUAUCAUGAA